rnacentral:rRNA from 1 species
UACAGAGGUCUCAAGCGUUGUUCGGAUUCAUUGGGCGUAAAGGGUGUGUAGGUGGCGCGCUAAGUCGGGUGUGAAAUUUCGGAGCUUAACUCCGAAACUGCAUUCGAUACUGGCGUGCUUGAGGACUGGAGAGGAGACUGGAAUUCAUGGUGUAGCAGUGAAAUGCGUAGAGAUCAUGAGGAAGACCAGUGGCGAAGGCGGGUCUCUGGACAGUUCCUGACACUGAGACACGAAGGCCAGGGGAGCAAACGAG